rnacentral:lncRNA from 1 species
GCAUUUAUUGGCAGGCUACAUCUAAGACUUUCUCUGCAGAAAAAUGUUCUAGAUGCACAGAUUUGGGGGCUUGAUUGACAACCUGACACCUCACUCUAAAUCCGCAUGGGUCUGUUGACCUCAGCUGAGAAACCAAGUUAUGCUGAAGACCUGGAAAUCCCAGCAGGCUGCAAACCAGCUGCAACUACAAUGGGUCAGCCCUUUUGAGAUGCUGCUGACUACCCACUCAUCUGCC